rnacentral:lncRNA from 1 species
UUACAGCAGACGUUGGUUUUGGCAUUCACCAAUUGGCAUCCUCGACGACCGUACCAGACUGCAAAACCAAUAAUAGUUCAUUGAAGCCUUCCAUAAACAAAGGUAGCUAUGACUCAGAAGAUUUAUAAUAUCCCACGCUAGCAUAUAAAGACUGCAUCAAAUACAACAGCAGUCUUAAGCACAGCCAUUUUGUCAUGAAUACCAAGCAUUCAGCGUCUCCUAUAUAUCACGCAAAUCAUGUGCCAUUAAGUUAUAAAUAA